rnacentral:rRNA from 1 species
CUACGGGGUGCAGCAGUGGGGAAUAUUGCACAAUGGGGGAAACCCUGAUGCAGCAACGCCGCGUGGAGGAUGACGCAUUUCGGUGUGUAAACCCCUUUUAUAUAGGAAGAUAAUGACGGUACUAUAUGAAUAAGCACCGGCUAACUCCGUGCCAGCAGCCGCGGUAAUACGGAGGGUGCAAGCGUUACUCGGAAUCACUGGGCGUAAAGCGCGCGCAGGCGGUCUGGUAAGUUGGAUGUGAAAGCCUACGGCUCAACCGUAGAACUGCAUCCAAAACUGUCAGACUAGAGUCUGGGAGGGGAAGAUGGAAUUAGUUGUGUAGGGGUAAAAUCCGUAGAGAUAACUAGGAAUACCAAAAGCGAAGGCGAUCUUCUGGACCAGUACUGACGCUGAGGCGCGAAAGCGUGGGGAGCAAACAGGAUUAGAUACCCGAGUAGUC